GGAGGGUGCAAGCGUUGUUCGGAGUUAUUGGGCGUAAAGAGCGUGUAGGCGGUCCGGUAAGUCAGAUGUGAAAGCCCUGGGCUCAACCCAGGAAGUGCAUUUGAAACUACCAGACUUGAGUACGGGAGAGGAGGGGGGAAUUCCCGGUGUAGAGGUGAAAUUCGUAGAUAUCGGGAGGAAUACCAGUGGCGAAGGCGCCCCUCUGGACCGAUACUGACGCUGAGACGCGAAAGCGUGGGGAGCAAGCAGGAUUAGAUACCCUGGUAGUCCACGCCGUAAACGAUGAGCACUAGGUGUAGCGGGUAUUGACCCCCCUGCUGUGCCCGUAGCUAACGCAUUAAGUGCUCCGCCUGGGGACUACGGUCGCAAGACUA
rnacentral:rRNA from 1 species